rnacentral:tRNA from 1 species
GCCUUCGUGGUGUAGUGGUCAGCACGCUCGGCGCGUAUUCGAGAGGUCCAUGGUUCGAGUCCGGCUAGGGCA